rnacentral:rRNA from 1 species
GGGGAUUAUUGGGCGUAAAGCGCGCGUAGGCGGUUUCUUAAGUCUGAUGUGAAAGCCCACGGCUCAACCGUGGAGGGUCAUUGGAAACUGGGAAACUUGAGUGUUGUAGAGGUAAGUGGAACUCCAUGUGUAGCGGUGGAAUGCGUAGAUAUAUGGAAGAACACCAGUGGCGAAGGCGGCUUACUGGACAACAACUGACGUUGAGGCUCGAAAGUGCGGGUAGCAAACAGGAUUAGAUACCCUGGUAGUCCACACCGUAAACGAUGAAUACUAGGUGUUAGGAGGUUUCCGCCUCUUAGUGCCGAAGCUAACGCAUUAAGUAUUCCGCCUGGGGAGUACGACCGCAAGGUUGAAACUCAAAGGAAUUGACGGGGACCCGCACAAGCGGUGGAGCAUGUGGUUUAAUUCGAUGCAACGCGAAGAACCUUACCUACUCUUGACAUCCAGAGAACUUUCCAGAGAUGGAUUGGUGCCUUCGGGAACUCUGAGACAGGUGCUGCAUGGCUGUCGUCAGCUCGUGUUGUGAAAUGUUGGGUUAAGUCCCGCAACGAGCGCAACCCUUAUCCUUUGUUGCCAGCGAUUCGGUCGGGAACUCAAAGGAGACUGCCAGUGAUAAACUGGAGGAAGGUGGGGAUGACGUCAAGUCAUCAUGGCCCUUAUGUCCAGGGCUUCACACAUGCUACAAUGGUCGGUACAGUGGGUUGCGAUGCCGUGAGGUGGAGCUAAUCCCUUAAAGCCGGUCUCAGUUCGGAUUGGAGUCUGCAACUCGACUCCAUGAAGUCGGAGUCGCUAGUAAUCGCAGAUCAGCAACGCUGCGGUGAAUACGUUCCCGGGGC